AUAUCAUGACAGACAAAUUGCCCGAAUUGAC
rnacentral:sRNA from 1 species